UGUUAAACCCAUGAAAUUGGAUUGAAUUGUGGGAAUGAUGAAAAAGAUGGUGUUAAACCCAUGAAAUUUGAUUGAAUUUGUGGAAUGAUGAAAAUGUUGAUGCUAAACCCAUGAAACUUGAUUGAAUGGUAGGUAUGAUGAAAAUGUUGAUGUUAAACCCAUGAAAUUUGAUUGAAUUGUGGUAAUGAUAUAAAUGAUGAUGUUAAACCCAUGAAAUUUGAUUGAAUUGUGGGAAUGAUGAAAAAGAUGAUGUUAAACCCAUAAAAUUUGAUUGAAUUAUUUGCAUUAUGAAAAUGUUGUUGUUAAACCCAUGAAAUUUUAUUGAGUGGUAGGCAUGAUGAAAAUGUUGAUGUUAAACCCAUGAAAUUUGAUUGAAUUGUGGGAAAGAUAAAAAUGAUGAUGUUAAACUCAUGAAAUUUGAUUGAAUUAUGGGAAUGAUGAAAAUGAUG
rnacentral:lncRNA from 1 species